AAUAAUCCAAACACACAUUUUGUCUAAAAAAAACUAAACUAAGUAAUUACAGUGAAAAAAUUGCUACAAUUGGAAAUAGGUUCCUAAUGACCAAAACCAAGCAAUUAGGAUGAAAUCACUUUGGACUUAGUCACAAAAACAGGUUGUCUUGAAGCUUGGAGCAGCCACCUUCCAUUCCAUCAGGUCAUCUCAGAGCUAUAACCUGCAGAGAAAAAUAGCUCAUUUAAAAAGCACUUUUUAAAAGCACUUAAAAAACUAAAAAACAACUAAUCAAAUUACUAAGUUCAAAGCUUUAUCCAGAGGAUUAAUUGGAACAUCUGAAAAGGCACUGCAACAAUGGCUUAAAUAAGAACAAAUCAAAUCCCACAUAAUCUGGGAUGAGACAAAUUGAAAAAGAAAAGAGUUUUUUAAAACUGAUAAAAAUUCUUCAUAAAACGUCCAUGAGGCGUUAAGAGACAACACAACACAGUAAGCUAUUUCUUCUAAAAAAACCUUAAACCACAACAACAACAAAGAAGCACUUUUUUUCCUAAAACCAGAACGGCAUGGCAAGAACAAACGCAACAAAGCUAUUUUUUUCAAAACUCUAAAACAACAACAGCAACCACACACAAAGUUAUUUCUUCUAAAAACCCUAGAACACACAACAUAAACAUAGCAAAAAAGCAAUUCUUCUCAAAGAACACCAUAACCACACCUUACCAGAAGCAAAUUGAUAGUGAAAGAAAAGUAAGAGGAAUGAGUGGCUAGUGCGAAGAGGUCACCGGAUUCACGAAGUUGGCGUCAUCGACGAAGUCGCCAUCCUCGUCGUCGCUUGCUGAGAGAUAGUGUGUCGGCGUUGAGGUUUGUUUACCGUUGCAGUUAGAGGAGGUCGGAGCAGAGAGCGCUACGGUUUCACCGUUUUGGCAUCGCUGACGGCGGCGAUACGACAAGGUUCUUCUCCCGGCCGAUCUGUUUUUUUCCUCCUAGCAGCUCACUGAACAGGUGAGGAAUUCUAACUUCACCAAAGUGAAAUUCUGACUUCAUACACAUUCACAUAGCAGAGUACCCUAUCUCUAAUUGGGCUUAGCAGGCGUGUACAAGGCCCACAUGCACCUUUUUCUUUAAUUAUUGUUUGUUAAUUGGUCCUUAGAAAUAGCAUUGAUCUGUUAUUUGAUUAAUUAGCUUAACUAGGACUUAAUAGAUCAUUUAGAAAUUAAAUUUUAUCAUAUAAGAUGUUGUUUCGACUCGAUACAGAGAAUCUCAUUUUUACUGUUUGAGAUGCUGCUUCAUCAAUAUGAAGAGUCUCAUUUCAGAUUUUUUUUAGAGAUGCUGCUCUAAGUAUCCUGGGAGAGUCUUAGAUUCAAUUAAACUAUUUUUCCCUUGCUGGAAUAUUUUAAUUCUAUCAUAUAAGAUGCUGUUUCGACUCGAUACAGAGAAUCUCACUUUUACCGUUUGAGAUACUACUUCAUCAAUAUGAAGAGUCUCAUUUCAGAUAUUUUUUAGAGAUGCUGCUCUAAGUGUCCUCGGAGAGUCUUAGAUUCAAUUAAAGUAUUUUUCCCUUGCUGGAAUAUUUUAAUUCUAUCAUAUAAGAUGUUGUUUCCACUCGAAACAGAGAAUCUCACUUUUACUAUUUGAGAUACUGCUUCAUCAAUAUGAAGAGUCUCAUUUCAGAUAUUUUUUAGAGAUGCUGCUCUAAGUGUCCUCGGAAAGUCUUAGAUUCAAUAAAAAUAUUUUUCCCUUGCUGGAAUAUUUUAAUUCUAUCAUAUAAGAUGCUGUUUCCACUCGAUACAGAGAAUCUCACUUUUACUGUUUGAGACACUGCUUCAUCAAUAUGAAGAGUCUCAUUAUCAGAUUUUUUAGAGAUACUGCUCUAAUAUCCUCGGAGAGUCUUAGAUUCAAUUAAAGUAUUUUCCCCUUGCUGGAAUAUUUUAAUUCUAUCAUAUAAGAUGUUGUUUCGAUUCGAUAUAGAGAAUCUCAUUGUUAUUAUUUGAGAUGCUGCUUCAUCAAAAUGAAGAGUCUCAUGCCAGAUUUCCUUUAUAUUAUUCUAGCAUCCUGGAAAGUCUUGAGAUUUAGCUAGGGAUGCCAUUCCACAUAUCUCGACUGAGAUAUCUAAAAUACUGUUCUGAUGACUCACAGAAAGUCUUGAUUGUUCCAUUUUACUGUGGGAUAAUGUCUUUUUCCAUUUCUCACCGCAUUUUCUUCCUGUAUUUUCUUCCUUUCAUUGCCUAGGACAAAAUUUGGGUCUUCUUAUAUUUAAUUAUCUCCCACCGUGAAUGCGUAAAGACUACUGUCAUGAUCACUUACCGGUUUGAGGUAAUUAAAUAGGGGCAGCUGUCAUACCCCAAUUUUGUCCGGCCAUUUUGGUUUAAUCCAUGAGAUUUCUUUGUUUCAAAAGUCUCAUAUUUAGAUUUUUGUGUUUAUAUUAGAAUAUGUGUUGUUUUUUAAAAUUAAAAGUUCCAUAUUUAGAUUUUUGUAUUUAAAAUAGAAUUGUGUUGUUUUUUUAAAUUAAGAGGUCCCAUAUUUAGAUUUUUGUAUUUAAAAUAGAAUUGUGUUGUUUUUAAAUUAAAUCACUAUAUUUAGUUUCUUUGUACUUAAGUUAGAAAUAUGUUGUUUUUUUUAAGUCAUUAUACUUAAAUUAGAAAUUUGUUUUUAAAAUUAAGUCAUUAUACUUAAAUUAGAAAUUUGUUUUUAAAAUUAAGUCAUUAUACUUAAAUUAGAAAUUUGUUUUUAAAAUUAAGUCAUUAUACUUAAAUUAGAAAUUUGUUUUUAAAAUUAAGUCAUUAUACUUAAAUUAGAAAUUUGUUUUUAAAAUUAAGUCAUUAUACUUAAAUUAGAAAUUUGUUUUUAAAAUUAAGUCAUUAUACUUAAAUUAGAAAUUUGUUUUUAAAAUUAAGUCAUUAUACUUAAGUUAGAAAUUUGUUGUUUUUAAAAGUUGAAUGAUUAACAUAAAUAAAUAUUGAGUUAAAUUUUGAAAGAUUAAAAGGUAAUUACAUAAUUAAAAUUUAAUUCAAUAAGUCCCAAAUAAUCCAAACACACAUUUUUUCUAAAAAAAACUAAACUAAGUAAUUACAGUGAAAAAAUUGUUACAGAUGAAAAUAGGUUCCUAAUGACCAAAACCAAGCAAUCAAGAUGAAAUCACUUUGGACUUAGUUACAAAAACAUGUUGUCUUGAAGCUUGGAGCAACCACCUUCCAUUCCAUCAGGUCAUCUCAGAGCUAUAACCUGCAGAGAAAAAUAGCUCAUUUAAAAAGCACUUUUUAAAAGCACUUAAAAAACUGAAAAACAACUAAUCAAAUUACUAAGUUCAAAGCUUUAUCCAGAGGAUUAAUUGGAACAUCUGAAAAGGCAUUGCAACAAUGGCUUAAAUAAGAACAAAUCAAAUCCCACAUAAUCUGGGAUGAGACAAAUUGAAAAAGAAAAGAGUUUUUUA
rnacentral:lncRNA from 1 species